CAUCUACAAUGGAUCUAUUGCUAUGUUUAACCGCUAAAAAAAAUGAUAUUUUUAACUACUUUUACUAGUUAUGCCUGUUUAGUCCAUGUUUGUAGACUGUCUCAUACAGCAAAGCCUUCAGAUGAAACCCUUAGAUGAAGUCUUCAAACACUACUGGAACCUAAAGAUAAAGAUUUCUCUUGGAAGAUCAGUUCUAGAUCAUCAAUAACGUGAGCUAUUCUGCUGCAGGAAAAGUGUUCAAAGGUCCUUCACAGAGAGAAACAACAGCUGCCACUUACAAGUAACCGCUUGCAUUCGAGGAACUUGGACAUCCACCGAGUGACCACAUUGACCAGGGAUGGUACCAGCAGGCACAGCAUGGAGAGCUGCAAGCAAUGAGGGAAUUUGCAGUGCUCUGGAGUGAGACCACCAGAAAGUUUGAAAUGGUGGAGCGGUGCCUUCAACUGAAAUAAAGUUUUCAUCAAAGACCCCCAAAGGGUUUUUUUCUCACCCUAGUACGAGCUCUAUCUUUGCUGAGUCCCAGCUGAAUUCAGACCAGGAUGGGGAGCAAUGCUCCAGUGUCCUUGUCUUCUGCUAUGAUUUGUAAAGACUUUAUGCCAACCUCUAUGUUACUGGCACACUAAAGAAUAAAUGAAUAUAAUUCUCCAAUUACCAUCAGUUACCUUUCCUGGAGAUGUUUUUGGCACAUUUUUUUUUUGGUCAAAUUCCUUGGUAAACCUUCAUUCCUCUAUAACGGAUCACAACUUCCAUGCAUUUGUUUCACAAGACCCAUAGCAUUGUGGUUCACUUCAGUAAUUAUUUACAGUCUCUGUGUUGGAAACUCAGUUUUACCAUGAAAUUUUCAGGCAAAUGAGUCAAAACUGGGUGCAUACAGCCAUAUUAGGCUUUCUGAGAAAUGUGAUCUCAUUCAGAGAAGUGUCAAGAAUUUUUCUGUGUCAAAGGAAAGCAGAGGUGCUCAGCACCUUUGAAAUACUUUCAAACUCAAGUGUCUAAAUAUAGAUUUAAAAGCCUAAUUUGACAACCUGGUUUUAAAAUGUUGGUCUAGAAAAUUCUGUGGUUUAAGUUUUCUUCCACUUGCAUAUCUACAGAAUUUAAAAGGUCUGGGGCAAUGAACUAUGAAAUACUUGGACUAUUACAUUCACAAGCAGUUGCAUUUCAGUAGGGAAUUUGUGGUAAAGACAGUAGAGACUUUUGUUCAAAUUAGGUAAGUGUCAGUUAGAUGAUGGCCCAUUUCCUUGAGGAGGUUCUAAAUAAUAACAAUAAAUCAAUUUAAAUAUCCUCAUGUGUAAAAAUCCCAUGAAUUCCUUCAAGACACAAACUAUGUUUUUACUUUAUUGCAUAAAGUCUAGAGUAAACAAAUAUGUACUAAAAUAUACACAUCCCUUAUGCCAUUUCCUUUAAAACCAGAGAACAUUAAUUUGGUUAGAAGUCAUUUAACCAAGAUUUCUGAUGAACUUUCACUGACUUACAGGAAUUUACAUUAUGAAUUUGGUUUAACAUUGUCUGUUUUUGUUGGGAAAUACUCAGAAAAGCAGUGGGAUCAUCUGGGACAACAAACCCAAAUCUCUCAAUGUUGUCACUCUCUAAAAAGCAACAGAUUGCACAAAAGAAUGUUUGCUCACGAUGUUGGUUUUCGAUUACAGACUCUGUUUUUUCUGUAUUUGAGUAAUAAAUUGAAAGAAAUGUAGCAAAU